GGGGCACAAAGGGUGUAACCCGUCUGGUUAUGGCAUCAGAGGCAGGGGAACAAGGAGAACAAGACAAAGGGAGGAAGAAUCACAGAGUGCCCCCAGAAAUCUGGUUUCCAGUGAACCUGUCCAGACAGUGGAGGAGUCCAUGGGACAUGGAGAUGAAGAACCUU
rnacentral:lncRNA from 1 species